ensembl:lncRNA
CCCGGGGCUGCGGGGCUCCGGGUGCGGGGGAGACCCGAGGACCGCAGAACGGCGGGAGUCUCCGCGCUCUUCCUCCGCGCAGACGAUCGCGGGUCCCCUGGUCCAACAGGUUCACCGGGCGCUGCGGGACACGGGACCGCGCCUCCGUCUGCAGCGCUCCGGCUGCAGAAAGGGCAAGGGGCCUGGGGACCCAGUUCUGGACAGUCUCCCCGACAGCCUGGACCACUCAUCCUCUCCAUCUCAUAGCUUCAUUGUCUUCCAAGUAAGGGUGGCUUUCUCUAAGCAAGUUAGAGAACAUUGGCCACCCAUGGCAUCCAGGAUUGUACCUGACAACUGCAUGAUCAGAGAAGAAACAGACCUCCUUCCUGUCAAGGACAACCAUAAAAAAUACCAGGAAGGGGUUUGAUUGGUUUGUCUUGGGUCGUGUGUACAUCUGUCAUC